CCAGGCUUGAACAGCGAGUGACCACUCACGAAAGUGAGCUUCCGCAAGGACACUCGUAGAGGUGCUGCAUGGCUGUCGUCAGCUCGUGUCGUGAGAUGUUGGGUUAAGUCCCGCAACGAGCGCAACCCUUGUCUGCUGUUGCCAUCACGUUAUGGUGGGCACUCUGCAGAGACUGCCGGUGAUAAACCGGAGGAAGGUGGGGAUGACGUCAAGUCAGCAUGGCCUUUAUGUCUGGGGCUACACACGUGCUACAAUGGCCGAUACAAACCGUCGCGAGCCCGCAAGGGGGAGCUAAUCGGAGAAAGUCGGUCUCAGUUCGGAUUGUCGGCUGCAACUCGCCGGCAUGAAGUUGGAAUCGCUAGUAAUCGCGGAUCAGCACGCCGCGGUGAAUACGUUCCC
rnacentral:rRNA from 1 species